rnacentral:rRNA from 1 species
CCUACGGGAGGCUGCAGUGGGGAAUAUUGGACAAUGGGGGCAACCCUGAUCCAGCCAUGCCGCGUGUGUGAAGAAGGCCCUCGGGUUGUAAAGCACUUUCAGUGAGGAAGAACGCCUGGUGGUUAAUACCCAUCAGGAAAGACAUCACUCACAGAAGAAGCACCGGCUAACUCCGUGCCAGCAGCCGCGGUAAUACGGAGGGUGCAAGCGUUAAUCGGAAUUACUGGGCGUAAAGCGCGCGUAGGUGGCUUGAUAAGCCGGUUGUGAAAGCCCCGGGCUCAACCUGGGAACGGCAUCCGGAACUGUCAAGCUAGAGUGCAGGAGAGGAAGGUAGAAUUCCCGGUGUAGCGGUGAAAUGCGUAGAGAUCGGGAGGAAUACCAGUGGCGAAGGCGGCCUUCUGGACUGACACUGACACUGAGGUGCGAAAGCGUGGGUAGCAAACAGGAUUAGAUACCCCAGUAGUC